GCCGGGGUAGCCAAGCGGACUACGGCGCCAGUCUUGAAAACUGGUGCUCCUUGCGAGCCCAUGGGUUCGAAUCCCAUCCCCGGCGCCA
rnacentral:tRNA from 1 species